GUUGUGGUACAUCUUACCUGUCAUGCACUGAGGUGUGCCCACUUAUAUUAACACUGACGAAGAUAGGGGAAUAUUUAAGAACUGCUUCAAGACAGAAAGCAUGACUGAAAUAUGGGAAAAGCCUUCCUCGCCGAUCUUAAGUGAGCUUGACAAACCAGGCAUCACAAACGAAGAGGCAGAGGCCUUGUAUGAAAGAUGGGCAAAUGAUUACGAAAAGGAAAUGGUAUAUUUCAAUUACUUUGGACCAAGUUACACUGCUAAUGAAGUGGAAAAAGUGUUAGCAGACAACAAGGAAGCGCUAAUUUUAGACGCCGCCUGUGGAACCGGUUUAGCCGGA